GUGCCUACUGAGCUGAAACACAGUUGGUUUGUGCACACUGGCUCAGUUCAGCAGGAAC
rnacentral:pre_miRNA from 2 species